CCUACGGGCGGCAGCAGUGAGGAAUAUUGGUCAAUGGGCGCAAGCCUGAACCAGCCAAGUCGCGUGAGGGAUGACGGUCCUAUGGAUUGUAAACCUCUUUUGUCGGGGAGCAAGGCCCGCCACGUGUGGCGGGAAGGAGAGUACCCGAAGAAAAAGCAUCGGCUAACUCCGUGCCAGCAGCCGCGGUAAUACGGAGGAUGCGAGCGUUAUCCGGAUUUAUUGGGUUAGAAGGGUGCGUAGGCGGAAGGUUAAGUCAGCGGUAAAAUGUCGGUGCUCAACACCGGCCUGCCGUUGAAACUGGUCUUCUUGAGUGAGCGAGAAGUAUGCGGAAUGCGUGGGGUAGCGGUGAAAUGCAUAGAUAUCACGCAGAACUCCGAUUGCGAAGGCAGCAUACCGGCGCUCAACUGACGCUGAGGCACGAAAGCGUGGGGAUCGAACAGGAUUAGAUACCCCAGUAGUC
rnacentral:rRNA from 1 species